CCUAUGUCUUCAUAUACAUCUUCGUGUAGAAAGUCUUAGAAUGUUUACUAUCAGAGAGUCGCGACUUCUAGGAGACGCGAAACUCUGAGAUAAAAGUUAUUACAACUUUCAGCAAUGGAUCUCUUGGCUCUCGCAUCGAUGAAGAACGCAGCGAAAAGCGAUAUGUAAUGUGAAUUGCAGAUCUACAGUGAAUCAUCGAAUCUUUGAACGCACCUUGCGCUCCUCGGUGUUCCGAGGAGCAUGCCUGUUUGAGUGUCAGUAAAUUCUCAACCCUUCUUGAUUGAGGGAGUUUGGAUAGUGGGGGUUGCUGGAGACUUUUAUUAGACUCGAGCUCUCCUGAAAUGCAUCGGCUUGCGGUCGACUUUCGACUUUGCGCGACAAGGCUUUCGGCGUGAUAAUGAUCGCCGUUCGCUGAAGCGCAUGACCGAAGGUUUCGCGCCUCUAAUACGUCGACUCUUAUUAUCUCUUCGGAGAGAAAAGGUCUUCUUUAUUGACUUUUGACCUCAACUCAGGUAGGAAUUACCGCUGUAUUUAA
rnacentral:rRNA from 1 species